GUAAAGAUCAAUGCUUCGGUGAGAUUCACCAUCGUGGAUUUGGUUCGCUAUUGAACUGGUUGACCUCCUACGUUGAUGAACUGUAAGCGUUAGAUUAGAGUCUGGGGAACAUCGUUGUCAUUUGUUUCUCAACAUGCUUGUCCCGCAUCAUUUAACCUGGAUCAUCGAGGUUUAAUCUAUUUUCGAUUAGUGCGGUGAGUGAUCGAUCGAUUGGUGUUGCCAAAUGUUUGCAAAGAAAUAAUUCACGGAGUUUGCGAAGGGUAAUUACAGGUGUGCGUACGGGGAAUAGAUGGUAAUGAUGGAAUAUAAGCAGAGAGAGAGAGAGAGAGAGAGAGAGAGAGAGGGAAAGAGAGAGAAAGAGAGUGAGUGAGAAUGAGGUGGGAAGAGAGGUAGUGAGUGAGAGUGAGCAGACGCCACAGCAGCAUUCAAUAGAUACGCGUACGCGAGUUAAAAGCGAUAAUUUCACGAGAACGUAUGUACUUUCGUGUAUAGAUAUUCUCUGAAUGUGAAUAUUAAACGAACGAAUCGGCUCGGAUGGCCGUUAAUUAAUUGCAAAUUCUUUCGUUUCGAUCCUAAUUACAAAACGCCAUUCAUAUUUUCCUGAUUUGGAUGAAUUUCAAUGAAAAAGAAAGAAAGAAAAAGAAAGAGAAAGAGAGAGGGAAAGGGGGAGAGAGAGAGAACAAUGAACGAGAGCAAACAAAGCUGCUGGAAACAACGAACCUUGUGACAGGUUUACGGAAAGUUACGCAAAACCAUCGCCGAAAGCAUCCGGAGGCAUGUCUGCGAUCAGCGAUCCACUUUCAUGCUGGACAUGAUUUGAAACUGAAUAUAAGAGGAGGAAAAAAAAACGAUCCGACGAAAUAAUAUCAUUAUGUAGAUCGAUCGUUUAACCAUUGAUUCGAACGCCUAUGGCAACAUUUUAUAAUAUUAAAAAAUGAAAAAAAUCAUCCUGCGAAAUUUCGACAGAUUCAUCGUUCCAAAACGUUUUCACUUGAAAAAGUUUUGUAAAUUGACACCCUCAUUGUUCCAAUAUGCACAUUUAUAAAAAAGAAAAAAAAAAUCGUUUAUUUAAUCGAACAAUAAGUGACAUUCUUAAUAAGAAUCUUUCGAAUUCUAUGUCUCAUUUAUUCGCAUUGAAUUAUGC